rnacentral:lncRNA from 1 species
GUUUAACAAAAGGAGCCUUGAUGUGACUCUCUCCUUGGCGAGAGACCUGCCAUGCCAGGCUGGGGAUCGGGGUUCUCUACCCUUAUGUGGGAAAACAGAUGUUAUGCCACAGUCCUGGGAGCUCUUUCUGGAAUGGUUGACAACAGGCUUGCUGGGACAGAGUCCUUCAGCUCAACAGGGCCGGAUAGAAGUUAUGCUUGUCUGCAGAGUACAGAUGAGGGAACAGGGACUGAGCUGCUUUGCAGGGGCGUGAUGGUAAGUUUUAUGUGUCAACUUGACAGGCUGCCUAGAUAGCUGGUAAAAAAUCAUUUCUCAGGUGUGGGGUGUUUCUGGAAAAGAUUUAACUCAGUGGACUAAGAAGAUUCACCCUCACCAAUGAAGAUAGGUGUCAUCCAAGUUACUGAGGGCCUGAUUAGAACAAAAUGUGGAGGAGGCCGGAUUUGUUCCCUGCUUAAACUAAGACUUCCAUCUUCUCCCCAAGUCGUUGCUGCUCCUGGUCCUCUGCCUUCUGAUUCAGACUGAGACUUAUACAUGGGCUUCCCCAGUUCUCAGUCCAUAGGGCCUGAACAGGAACCAUACCACCUAUGUUCUUGGGCCUCUAGCUGUCAGAUGGCAGACUGUGGGGUUUCUCAGCCCCCAUCAUUGUGAGAGCCAACUCCUCUCUUUCUGUGUGUCUGCACAUCUCUUUUUUGUUCUUUUUCUCUGGAGAACCCUGAUCAACUCAUGAAGUCAUCCAGGAAGGGGAAACAUCAUGGGCCUGGGCCUAUGCCCCAUUCCUGGCUGCUGUGGUGACAAACUGCUCCACUUUGUCUGAGACGGAAGGUUUCUGGGAGAAUAUGGAACAUUCACUGUAAACACCAGAGUGCCCUGGGCAAACUAGGUAAACAACAGGUGGCUGAAGAUCUAUGCCUCCUAAACAAAUGGGAAGUUCUGAAUGGGAAACUUAUAUCAGUGGCUGGACCCCUUUCCCAGGACCUCCUGUCACCACUGGCCCUGCCACUACAGGAUCCAUGACUAUUGCUGUGCAUGUACCUGCUGGAAGCCACCGAC